UACAGGGGGAUAACACUUAGAAAUAGGUGCUAAUACCGCAUAAGCGCACGGUUCCGCAUGGAACAGUGUGAAAAACUCCGGUGGUAUACGAUGGAUCCGCGUCUGAUUAGCCAGUUGGCGGGGUAACGGCCCACCAAAGCGACGAUCAGUAGCCGGCCUGAGAGGGUGAACGGCCACAUUGGGACUGAGACACGGCCCAAACUCCUACGGGAGGCGGCAGUGGGGAAUAUUGCACAAUGGGGGAAACCCUGAUGCAGCGACGCCGCGUGAGUGAAGAAGUAUUUCGGUACGUAAAGCUCUAUCAGCAGGGAAGAAAGAAAGUCCUUUGGACUUUGGACGGUACCUGACCUAGAAGCCCCGGCUAACUACGUGCCAGCAGCCGCGGUAAUACGUAGGGGGCAAGCGUUAUCCGGAUUUACUGGGUGUAAAGGGAGCGUAGACGGCAGCGCAAGUCUGGAGUGAAAUGCCGGGGCCCAACCCCGGAACUGCUUUGGAAACUGUGCAGCUCGAGUGCAGGAGAGGUAAGCGGAAUUCCUAGUGUAGCGGUGAAAUGCGUAGAUAUUAGGAGGAACACCAGUGGCGAAGGCGGCUUACUGGACUGUAACUGACGUUGAGGCUCGAAAGCGUGGGGAGCUAACAGGAUUAGAUACCCUGGUAGUCCACGCCGUAAACGAUGAUUACUAGGUGUCGGGGGGCCAAGGCCCUCCGGUGCCGCCG
rnacentral:rRNA from 1 species